AGGCUUUGGGAAGAAAACAAACUUCAACGUGUGCACGUUCUCAUUAGGAGCAGGCAGGAGGAGAGCUCCCAUCCCAGCUGGAUGAGAUCCAGGGAUCCCAGGGAUGGAGAGGGUGGAAAUGGGCCUGCAGCCAGAAGAACUUGAGAGAUUUCUGACAAGUCUGAAGGGAAGAGUGAUGGCAGGAAAGGAGCUGCACAUCCUUGAGUGCCUAAGUACUUCCAAAAGCUCCCAGAGUCAUUUCCACCCCAACCCAGAGAUUUCCAAGGAUCCCAUCCAAAACUCAGCAGGAUCAAGCUUUGUUCCUGCCCUUCCUGGUGCAAGUUUACAGGAAUCAGUGUCUGGAGAGGAGCCUCCACCCUCUGCGUGAGAGCGAGAUGUUGUAGAUGCAAACAGGACGGAAGCGCCGCGUAAACCUCGGAGCAAACAAAAAAGCUGUGAGGAAAACAAGAGGAGCUGUAAACUCCAACCACCCAGAGGGCAGGUGGAACUCUGGCAGUGAAGAUUUGUGCUGCUCCUUCUGCAGACUGAGAAGAGUUGAGCUCUUGAGCAAAAGGAUUUGAUUCCUCGGAGUCAAAACUUUCAGAGUUUGUCUCAUGUCCUCACAGCCUGGUGCAGGUGUGAGAGCUCAGCCCCACAACAGGCUCUGUGUUCUCCACAAUGUUCUGCUUUCUAAGUUUUUUCAUGUUUAGAACCUUCCCACCCUCCAGGAGGGACGCCAGGAAGGGUGGCAGUGGUGUAAGGAGCAAAUGGAACAUCACUUGAAGGUAAUUCCGUGAUUGGAUAAUCAACUUUUCUGACUGGAGGAGGAGAACAGGGACCAAUGUGCUGUGUCAGGUCCAUCUCUAGCAACAACUGUGGCAGCAAGAAUAAAAACAAAUGUGCAGCAAAGUGAAAUAAGGAAUAAAAAUGUAU